CCUACGGGCGGCAGCAGUGAGGAAUAUUGGUCAAUGGACGAGAGUCUGAACCAGCUAAGUAGCGUGAAGGAUGACUGCCCUAUGGGUUGUAAACUUCUUUUAUAUGGGAAUAAAAUGUUCCACGUGUGGGAUUUUGUAUGUACCAUAUGAAUAAGAAUCGUCUAACUCCGUGCCAGCAGCCGCGGUAAUACGGAGGAUCCGAGCGUUAUCCGGAUUUAUUGGGUUUAAAGGGAGCGUAGGUGGAUUGUUAAGUCAGUUGUGAAAGUUUGCGGCUCAACCGUAAAAUUGCAGUUGAAACUGGCAGUCUUGAGUACAGUAGAGGUGGGCGGAAUUCGUGGUGUAGCGGUGAAAUGCUUAGAUAUCACGAAGAACUCCGAUUGCGAAGGCAGUUCACUGGACUGCAACUGACACUGAGGCUCGAAAGUGUGGGUAUCAAACAGGAUUAGAUACCCCAGUAGUC
rnacentral:rRNA from 1 species